rfam:Populus trichocarpa scaffold_12_contig_146, whole genome shotgun sequence.
CUUUUUAGGGUUAAACGUCAACAUUUUAGACGAGUCUUCUAUUUUUUAGGGACUGAUGUCAUUUUUUUACGUGUCUAUGAACAUUGUUUGUCUACACGUUUCUUUUUUUUUACAGAAAAGGACC